rnacentral:rRNA from 2 species
UUGAAUGCUAAGAGAAUGGAAUAUCAAAAAACAACUUUCUUAAAAUUAAAAAUUGAAAUUUUUUUAAUUUGUGUAAAAACAAUUAUAAAAAUUAAAGACAAGAAGACCCUAAGAAUUUUUAAAAUUUAAAUAAUACAUUUUUUGUUUUAAUUAAAUUUUAACUGGGGCGGUUAAAAAAUAUUAAAAACUUUUUAAUUUAAAAAUGACCCAUUAUUAAUGAAAAUAUGAUUAAAUACUCUAGGGAUAACAGCGUUAUAUUUUUUGAUAGAUCAUAUUGACAAAAAAGUUUGCGACCUCGAUGUUGGAUUAGGAUACUUUUUUAAUGAAGA